CUCUUACCGUGCGACCCAGAGAUCGGAAUGGGACGUGACGGCCGGCACAGGCGCCGUGCACAGCUGCCAGGAAUCUGACGGGCUGUCCUGGAGGACCACAGUCAGAUGAGGCAGAUGGAGCUCGAAAUCAGACCUUUGUUCCUCGUACCAGACACCAACGGCUUCAUUGACCACCUGGCCAGUCUGGCGCGGCUGCUGGAGAGCAGGAAGUACAUCCUGGUGGUGCCCCUCAUCGUGAUCAAUGAGCUGGACGGCCUGGCCAAGGGGCAGGAGACAGACCACCGGGCUGGGGGCUACGCCCGUGUGGUACAAGAGAAGGCCCGCAAGUCCAUCGAGUUCCUCGAGCAGCGAUUCGAGAGUCGGGACUCUUGCCUGCGAGCCCUGACCAGCCGUGGCAAUGAACUCGAAUCCAUCGCCUUCCGCAGUGAGGACAUCACUGGCCAGCUGGGUAACAACGAUGAUCUCAUCCUGUCCUGCUGCCUCCACUACUGCAAAGACAAGGCUAAGGACUUCAUGCCUGCCAGCAAAGAGGAGCCAAUCCGGCUACUGCGGGAGGUGGUGCUGUUGACGGAUGACCGGAACCUGCGUGUGAAGGCGCUCA
rnacentral:sRNA from 1 species